rnacentral:rRNA from 1 species
AUAUGCUCACAUAUGGGCUGCCGGAAAUACUGCAUAGCUAGGGAGUGGGAGAGGUAGACGGUACUCCGUAGGAAGGGGUAAAAUCCUUUGAUCUAUGGAUGACCACCUGUGGCGAAGGCGGUCUACAGAACACGUCCGACGGUGAGGGAUGAAAGCUGGGGGAGCAAACCGGAUUAGAUACCCGGGUAGUCCCAGCUGUAAACUAUGCAAACUCAGUGAUGCAUUGGCUUGUGGCCAAUGCAGUGCCGCAGAGAAGUCAUUAAGUUUGCCGCCUGGGAAGUACGUACGCAAGUAUGAAACUUAAAGGAAUUGGCGGGGGAGCACCACAAGGGGUGAAGCCUGCGGUUCAAUUGGAGUCAACGCCAGAAAUCUUACCCGGAGAGACAGCAGGAUGAAGGUCAAGCUGAAGACUUUACCAGACAAGCUGAGAGGUGGUGCAUGGCCGUCGUCAGCUCGUGCCGUGAGGUGUCCUGUUAAGUCAGGUAACGAGCGAGAUCCCUGCCUCUAGUUGCCACCAUUACUCUCAGGAGUAGUGGGGCGAAUUAGCGGGACCGCCGCAGUUAAUGCGGAGGAAGGAAGGGGCCACGGCAGGUCAGUAUGCCCCGAAAAUC